GAUAACUUCUCCAUCGACACGCGAUAAAAUUGGAAGGAUACAGAGAAAAGCAUGUCACAUGCGCAAGGAUGACACACAUAAAUCGAGAAAUGGUCCAAAAAAAG
rfam:Nicotiana attenuata strain TT chromosome 12, whole genome shotgun sequence.